rnacentral:rRNA from 1 species
AGGGUUUGAUUAUGGCUCAGGACGAACGCUGGCGGCGUGCUUAAUACAUGCAAGUCGAACGAAGCUGCUUGACGGAAUCCUUCGGGAGGAAGACGAGUAGACUUAGUGGCGGACGGGUGAGUAACGCGUGAGCAAUCUGCCCAUAAGAGGGGGACAACAGUUGGAAACGACUGCUAAUACCGCAUAAGACCACAUUACCGCAUGGUAGAGGGGUCAAAGAGAUAUCGCUUAUGGAUGAGCUCGCGUCCUAUUAGGUAGUUGGUGAGGUAACGGCCCACCAAGCCGACGAUAGGUAGCCGACCUGAGAGGGUGAUCGGCCACAUUGGAACUGAGACACGGUCCAA